rnacentral:rRNA from 1 species
AUUGAACGCUGGCGGCAGGCUUAACACAUGCAAGUCGAACGGUAGCAGGAAGAAAGCUUGCUUUCUUUGCUGACGAGUGGCGGACGGGGGAGUAAUGCUUGGGAAUCUGGCUUAUGGAGGGGGAUAACUGUGGGAAACUGCAGCUAAUACCGCGUAUUCUCUGAGGAGGAAAGGGUGGGACCUUAGGGCCCCCUGCCAUAAGAUGAGCCCAAGUGGGAUUAGGUAGUUGGUGGGGUAAAGGCCUACCAAGCCUGCGAUCUCUAGCUGGUCUGAGAGGGUGACCAGCCACACUGGAACUGAGACACGGUCCAGACUCCUACGGGAGGCAGCAGUGGGGAAUAUUGCGCAAUGGGGGGAACCCUGACGCAGCCAUGC